CGGAGUUAUGUUUCGGCGAGUGCCUCCACAUUUCUGAGCUUCACAGGUUCUUUAUCCCUUUACUUGUUUAUCCUCUGCAGAUAGUCUGAGAAUCAUACCACCUGUUGCCUGCCUGAACCAAGAACCAGAUCCCAGAGAAGGACUGUGCCAUAUUAGUUGGUUGCAGAUCUGCUAGGAUCCUAACGUUGAGAGAGAUCUAACAGGUGCUCCCUGCCUGACUAUCAGCACGGAUACGUAGUUUUCAUCUGUGGAGAAUUUUCUAACUUU
rnacentral:lncRNA from 1 species